GCGGUCAUAGCUCAGUUGGUAGAGCCCCGGAUUGUGAUUCCGGUUGUCGUGGGUUCGAGCCCCAUUGAUCGCCCCA
rnacentral:tRNA from 5 species